CCCAGGAAUUGACAUAAUUUCUCAGAAGCUUUUAACUUCAUGUUUUGGAGUGGAUGCAGCCUGCUUGUUGAAAGUUCUGAAAACUUGACUGAUGCUAAACUGUCUGCAGUCUUAUGUGUUCUGAAAUACUGUUUGGAGAGAUGGAGAUGGACCAAGUAAAAGUGAGCUCUCAUCUAGGACUUCUUGACUAUGGUAAUAGCUAUCAAAUGCUAAAGGCUGUAGGAGAAUGUUUAUCAAUAAUGCAGUGAAUUGCCAGUGUGGAUUUUGCUUAAAUCUAUUUGGUGCAAGUUGA